GAUGAAGAACGUAGCGAAAUGCGAUACGUAAUGUGAAUUGCAGAAUUCAGUGAAUCAUCGAAUCUUUGAACGCAUAUUGCGCUCUCUGGUAUUCCGGAGAGCAUGCUUGUUUGAGUAUCAGUAAACACUUCAACUCCCUUUUCUUUUUUGAAAUUGGAGCUGGACUUGAGUGAUCCCAACGCUUUCUUCCAAGAAAGUGGCGGGUUGCUUGAAAUGCAGGUGCAGCUGAACUUUUCUCUGAGCUAUAAGCAUAUCUAUUUAGUCUGCCUAAAAAACAGAUUAUUACCUUUGCUGCAGCUAACAUAAAGGAGACUAGUUCUUGUGCUGACUGAUGCAGGAUUCACAGAGACAGCUUCGGCUGACUUUGUAAACUCGAUCUCAAAUCAAGUAAGACUACCCGCUGAACUUAAGCAUAUCAAUAAGCGGAGGA
rnacentral:misc_RNA from 1 species